rnacentral:misc_RNA from 1 species
AAGUCGUAACAAGGUUUCCGUAGGUGAACCUGCGGAAGGAUCAUUAACACGUAUCCAACGUUAAAACCCCCGUGAACCUACAGCCCUAUUCUUGUGCGCCCGUUCGGACAGCAAUCCCUAGUAAAUCAUUGUUGAACAGAGUUUGAUUUAGGGACCUCUGUACGGAAGGACUGCGGUUUGCGUGCAAUUGAGUGGUAGCGCAAGCAUCCUGGUGCCUUUUAGACGGUUAUCGUGUGGAAGUGACGAUAACGUUACCGUCCUAAACACGUUUGCUAGAGGUCGACACGACCGGCAACCGGCAUCCAGGCCGAAAGGUCCCUAACCACCCCUCGCAAGAAUUUAGCGUGCACCUAACGGUCGUACGCACCCCUAAACUGAACAACUGUGAACAAUGGAUAUCUUGGUUCUC